CCUACUGGUGGCAGCAGUGGGGAAUAUUGCGCAAUGGGCGAAAGCCUGACGCAGCGACGCCGCGUGAGGGAUGAAGGUCUUCGGAUCGUAAACCUCUGUCAGCAGGGAAGAACGGUCACUGUGCUAAUCAGCAGUGAAUUGACGGUACCUGCAAAGGAAGCACCGGCUAACUCCGUGCCAGCAGCCGCGGUAAUACGUAGGGUGCGAGCGUUAAUCGGAAUUACUGGGCGUAAAGCGCUCGUAGGCGGUAUGUCAAGUCAAGGGUGAAAUCCCCGCGCUCAACGUGGGAACUGCCUUGGAAACUGGCAAAAUUGAGUGAGUUAGAGGAUAGUGGAAGUCCAGGUGUAGGAGUGAAAUGCGUAGAUAUCUGGAGGAACAUCAGUGGCGAAGGCGACUAUCUGGCACAUAACUGACGCUGAGGAGCGAAAGCGUGGGUAGCAAACAGGAUUAGAUACCCUAGUAGUC
rnacentral:rRNA from 1 species